rnacentral:lncRNA from 1 species
UAUUUUUAUUUUUUUUGAAAUAAUAAAUUGUCCUUUGAAAAUAUUCCAUUUUAUUUUCAAAAGAUAAAGUAUCCUUCAGGUGAUGAGAACUAUUCUUGGGGGAAAACUUUGUGUUUGCAUUUCUAGAAAUGAACUCUCAGACCUAACUCAUAGUUAAUACAAAACCCAAAAUGAACUUGGGCUUAUUGAUUUGCUUUGGUUGUUUAUUUUGAUUGUAGCAUCACAUUUGAAAUCUAAUUGUAAGCAUCACCUCUAAUCAAAGCUCUUUUAGUAUGUGUGACAAAUGCAUUUUAACAAAAUUGUACCCAUGUUUUAUUUGGUGAAAUAUUAUUUUGCUUAGGAAUUAACACUGUAAUUCUGUUUCACAGUUUAUCCAUGUAAUUUGAGUUUUUACAUGUCUUGCAGUUUCAUUCAUCCUAGAGUAGCUUUUGAGUUUAUUAGCUGGUUUCACUUAGUCUUGUUUAUAGGCCUAUCACUAUAGCUUCUAAGUGCUUCUCAGAUUAUGUUCCCUUUUAUGUUUAUCAAACUGUGUUUCCACAUAAAUGAAAACUCUUCAAUUGCUAGAA